UGGACAAUGGGAAAAUGUCAACAUUCACCCUUAUUUAUUUUGUUUGCGAUUAUAGUUAUGUAAAAUAUCAAUAUCUAAAACACUGGUGCAGUACAACACGGCAAAUAUGACACGGACAGAAUAAUAAAUGUUAUCUGGUUUCUUCUGUUCACAAAGCGUAUCGCAAUUUUAUGAUUUACCACAAUUAUUGUCAUAACUAUUUACAAAUGUGAACCAUACUAUUAUGAAACACUAACUCUAAUGCCAAAUUUUAAUAAAUAUACGAACGUAAGGAACGUAAAAAUUAACGAGGCACCCAAGGUACCUGUGAGCAAAAUCACCUGUGAUGAUACCGGCAAACAUCUUGAACAAAUGUCCUUGCCUGCGCGAAGAGAUUUUUAUGUUUCACAUCCCCUAUGUGAGAGGGGGCGGCCGGCGGUGGUGCGCGGCGCCGGGAGAGUGAUGUGUCGUCUGUCGAUCGCGCGGUUGACGUUUGUGUCCCGCGCUGUUUACGAUGCGCAAAAUUUCCCCCACUCCCUCGUUUAAUGCUAAAGAAGUUUGUUGGUAUCUGUAAAAUACUUAACAAACUUUAAAUUUUUUAUUAGAUUUUUCAUAUUCAUUACUUUAUUAUUAUGUAGUUUAAUUUAUGACUCAUGUUCACGUAUACUAUCUUUAAUUAAGUAAUCAAGCUGCCUCUUUUGCAGCAUUCAUUCAUAAAUUAAAGGUUCGGUUCAUCCUUACUUCCUUUAUUUCUUUCCUAGUUUUGAUAUUACAGGGUGUAAUCUAGGCUAUCCUUUCAUAUCAUUUGGGUUUUUGGGUUCUGCUGUAUUGAUAAUUGUAUUAGGUAAAUUCAAAAAGGGAUUACCAUUACAUUUUAUAUUGAAUGUGAACUUUGAGUAUUGAUGGCUUAAAUAUAGUAAAAUACUAUUAUUUUCUGAUUGUUUUGUGUCUAAAUCUGAAAUAAAAAUAAAGAUAUAUAGUUGGUAUUGUAUAGCUUACAUACUGUGACUCUGUCCAAUUUAUGAAUCACAUAAGAAAUAAAUAAAAGUAACAAUG